rnacentral:lncRNA from 1 species
CCCUAAUACAUAAUACAUAAAUACAUAACUAAGAAAAGGUACAGCAAUACAAUUAUUCCUUUCUUCUCUCUUUUAACAAUGUGUGUUUGCUUUACAAAACAACAAUUUAAACUGACUCCGACUCUGCAAGUUAGAGUUCUGCUAUACCACAGAUAACAAAAUUCAUCCAGUGGGCGAGACGAGGACUAGGAUUGCUGCCUAACUGUGGAUCCUUUGGCUUGCUAGAUCCAGCUGCCUCCUCUUCAUUCAGAAAGUAAUUCCAGGUAAUUUUAUCAUCUACUUUAAUUUCCUUCUUACCAACGGUUGAUUAAAUUACAAAUGCGUCAAGUCACAAGGCCUCUGUUUUCUUGCGACAAGACACAUUUCCCUGGCAGCUGAUCACUUCCAGGGACACAAGCCUUGUUUCUGUACAGUCAAACCUCGGAUCCUGUUUUGGCUCCCAAAAGCAGAAAACAUGGAAGUAAAUGUUCUGGUUUUCAAAGGUUUUUCGGAAGCUGAACGUCCGACACCGCUUCCGCUGAGUGCAGGAAGCCAUGCCUCGGUUAUUGAACAUUUCAGAAACUGAACGGGCUUCCAUAACGGAUUACAUUUGACAACCGAGGUUUGACUGUAUAGCAAAUGCAUUAUUUGAGGUGCAAGAGUGGAUUGUACCUUCAGUUUGAAUUUGUGGGUGGGGAGCAGGCCUCAACUCCCUGAAGCUUGGGAAAUGUUAGAUUAGGACAACUGUGGAGGGAAGAUGAUGAGCGUUCAGCUUUAAAACACUUCUUUCUAAGUGAUCUAUGGAGUACAAUAAUUUAGAAAAUUAAAGUGCUGUUGGCAUCUUGAAUCUAUGAUUCAGCACAGGACACUAGUAUUUUACUUAAUUGGAGAGGAUCAAGACAGAAUUUAUUAUUACUGAGUCAGAGGCUAUUAUGCGCUACAAUAACCGUAAAGCAGAAUAAACCUAAUUCCUAAACCCCAGCAGGAGCAAGGGAUUUGCUCCAGCCGUGCACCUGCGUUGGCAUGAGCUCCCUGCCACUCUUGCCCGUCCUGGGAAAUGGCAGUGACACCGCUCCUGGCAGGAGCCCGGGCGCCCCCUGAGCCACUCGUGCCGCGAGAGCCAGGCUGACAACAAUAGUUUUAGAAAAAGGACAAGGGCAACUGCGGCCAGCAGGAGCAGGACAUUGGCUGCUCAAGGCAAGAGCAGCUGACGGGGUGCCACUAGGAAGCCAGGCGCCCAGAAGUGGCAUCACUUCUGCUUACCAGGGCAGGGCAGGAGUUGGGCGGGCGUAGAGGCAGGAGACCAGAUUGCCCACACUAGUGUGCCUUUGCUGCCAGGCCUCACUGCCACUCUGCUUUGCUCCAUCCUAUUGCAAUGCCCCACGGAUAUCAGGAACUGGACUGAAGAGGAAUGGUGGGGGCUGCCCCACUUCUCCUGAACCAAAAACAGGAGGACAGUAUAGAUUACUGCAGAUGGUGACAGCAGCCACGAAAUUAAAAGACGCCUGCUUCUUGGGAGAAAAGCAAUGACAAACCUAGAUAGCAUCCUAAAAAACAGAGACAUCACCUUGCCAACAAAGGUCCGUCUAGUUAAAACUAUGGUUUUCCCAGUAGUGAUGUAUGGAAGUGAGAGCUGGACCAUAAAGAAGGCUGAUCGCCGAAGAAUGGAUGCUUUUGAAUUCUGGUGCUGGAGGAGACUCUUGAGAGUCCCAUGGACUGCAAGAAGACCAAACCUCUCCAUUCUCAAGGAAAUCAGCCCUGAGUGCUCACUGGAAGGACAGAUCCUGAAGCUGAGGCUCCAAGACUU